rnacentral:rRNA from 1 species
UACCUACGGGACGCAGCAGUGGGGAAUAUUGGGCAAUGGACGCAAGUCUGACCCAGCAACGCCGCGUGAAGGAAGAAGGCUUUCGGGUUGUAAACUUCUUUUAAGGGGGAAGAGUAGAAGACGGUACCCCUUGAAUAAGCCACGGCUAACUACGUGCCAGCAGCCGCGGUAAUACGUAGGUGGCAAGCGUUGUCCGGAUUUACUGGGUGUAAAGGGCGUGCAGCCGGAGAGACAAGCCAGAUGUGAAAUCCACGGGCUCAACCCGUGAACUGCAUUUGAAACUGUUUUUCUUGAGUACUGGAGAG